AGAUAGUCUCACACUUUUUUUUUUUUUUGGCACAGUGACAAGUAAAACACUCAGUUGCCAGAGGCAGGCAGUUUUGUUAAGGCAGCCUCUCUUCCUAACAGUCAUUACAACACCCAUCAGCAGAAGAAAUCUAAAUCCCCUGUCAUUUCUCCUCAACCUCAGAGCAACCUGGGUUCAAGUCCCUGGGUCAUCAGAUUUUUGUUUGUGAGGAAUCUCCCAGAAAGAAGCUUGCUGCCUCUUCACUGCCACACCAUGAUCUUGGUGUUCACCUUGAUGCUUGAGGUGUUCCUGUUCCUGAGAGGAACCGGAGCCCAGUCAGUGACCCAGCCUGACAGCCUCAUCACUGUCCCUGAAGGAGACGCUGUGGAGCUGAGGUGCAAGUACUCCUCUUCUGUCGCACCCUAUCUCUUCUGGUACGUGCAGUACCCCAACCAAGGACUCCAGCUUCUCCUGAAGUACACGUCUGGAAAUAGCUUUGUUUCAGGCAUCAGAGGCUUUGGGGCUGAAUUCAGGAAGAAUGAAACCUCCUUCCACCUGAGGAAAACAUCAGUCCAUUUGAGUGACUCAGCCAAGUACUUCUGUGCUCUGAGUGACACAGUGACUGAGACUGCAGGGGGAGCUGAACACAAACACACUGAGACACAGCAGCUUAAAAGACCCAGCAUCUCAGCCUGCGUUAUUUUCAGGAAGUUAGUGUGUUGUUUGAUGGCAAACAGUACAAACAAUACAGAGUUCUGGAGGUGUUUUGCUCCUAUGGGUGUGAGAGGAGUGGAUGUGAUGCCAGAGCCCUCAGCCCUGGUGUCCAGGAGGAGCCAGCCCACGCUCUGGUGCAAUUUUUUCCAAGAAUGUGAACAGCGUGCCAGUGGUAUCUUCCCAAUACGAGGUGGCAGCCUGGUCCACUUAUUCUCAUUCCUUCGGGGACCAAGCGGAAUGGAAGAUUAA